CUUUGGAACCCUCUACUAAGUAGAGGUGGCUCAGGAUAUUUAUCCUGUGGCUCUCAAAAACAUGUUUUUCUAGGUUGGGCUUAAAGACGAUGCGUCUGUAAACCAUCAGAGAUUCAUGACAUUUGGGUUGAAAAGACUGUAGUGGGAUAGUGUUUAUGUGCCCAAUAACCUUGUCAGCCUUAAGUCCUCCAAGACGCUGGCCAUAAAUGCUUGAAGAAGUGAAGGCAAUAUAUAAUCCAAAUAACAGUUCUAUGUGUUCACACUGAUCAAGCCUUGUCUGGAAGGUUUUACUUGGUUCCUUCUGGAAUAAAGGUAAACUUUAGGCACACUGGAGCUCUUAUUUAAUAAAGAUCGUCUCGUUCCAGGGAGCUGGUUCAGAAGGCCAGAGACCAGUGGCAUCCAAUAACUCAUGGGUGGACCGUUUGAGACUUCUGCCGUGGCCAUAGAAACAAAGUUUACCUUCUCUCGUUCUCAUGAAGAACCGUGGGGCUAUCUCUGGGAUUUCGAAGGACUUUUUAUCUGCUGUCUAGAGGGGAGAGACAAUAUAAAGUGCCACGUUCUAAAAGAGAGAGUUUAGAGAAAGAACUGUUGUUGGAAAGUGGGAAUCAAGGAAGGCCUCAAAGAAGACAGGAUGCUUGUGCUGAAUUUUAAAGUUGAGGAGGAGCUUGCAUAGUGGACAAGUGUUAUAGCCUACAUAACCAAAGAUCCAGAAAUCCAAAGUCAUCUGAACCUUAUUCAAAAAGUUUCACAUUAUACUAUUAGCAAUUUCAGUAUGUUUUGAAAGGGCCUAAUACUGCAGGGCUGGGAAAGAGAGUAACUCUCCUGAGUGUUGAGGACAGGGGUUUGAUAAAUAGAAUGGGAUGAAGGAGGGCUGAUGCUGCAUCUGCCAUUUUGUGAUAAUGAAGGAAAGGCAGAGGACACUGCAGAGAUGUCAACCCCAAUGUCUUCCAGCUGCUGAACCAGCCACAUUUUGUUUAGGACACUUGAGUUUUCUGUUAUUUUUAUAAAAUGAAUUCCUAAUUAGGAAGAAUUCAGUACGGUAAGUGGAGUGCUAAGGGUAAGAUACUCUGAAAUAUGAAACUGGAUGACUAGAGGGGUUGUAAUCACAGGGUGUGAUGAUCUAAAAUUUUUAGAGAUAGUGGAAAAAUUGGUCAAAUUAUUAUCUACACCUCUUGGGACCAAGACUAUGUAAUAACAGCAUGGCUAUAGUUUUAGGGAAAAUGUUUGGAAACAUCUCAGGUUUUCAAUGUGUGUUACCUUUACUUGCUGUUGAAGAGACAGGAAGAAAUAAUCAAAAUAAAGUUGGUGACAUUUUGUUAAUAUGAAGUAAAAUAGACUUCAAAAUUUGUGCCCCAUUGAGUUCCACCUUCCAUCACACCCUCUUCAAAGACAUCUUUAUCAUCCUGCAAGAAACAAGCAGCAUCCAUGGCCGUCAUCAUCCCAGAUCCUGCCCUUAAGGAGGGGUUGAGUGGCAAUGCCCUCAGCAGCCCCAGUACACCUGAGCCUGUGGUGGGCACCCAUGACAACAAACUAGAUGUCGACUACAUCAAGAGGUACCUGGACGAUUUGACUCCACUGCAGGGGAGCUGCCUCAUUAGACUUUGCCGGUGGCUCCAGGAGACCCACAAGGGCAAAAUUCCAAAAGAUGAGCAUAUUCUUCAGUUCUUACCUGGGUGAGAUUUUAAUAUUGACAAGGCCAGAGAGAUCAUGUGUCAAUCUUUGACAUGGAGGAAGGAGCACCAGGUAGACUGCAUUCUUGACACCUGGACCCCUCCACAGGUCCUUCAGGAUUUCUACAUGGGAGGCUGGCAUCAUCACGAUAAAGAUGGGUAGCCCCUCUAUGUGCUCAGGCUGGGGCAGAUGGACAGCAAAGGCUUGGUGAGAGCACUCAGGGAGGAAGCCUUGCUGAGAUACAUUCUCUCCAUAAAUGAAGAAGGGCUAAGGUGAUAUGAGGAGAAUACAAAAGUCUUUGGUCGGCUUAUCAGUUCAUGGACCUGCCUGGUGGACUUUGAAGGGCUGAACAUGCGCCACUUGUGGAGACCCAGUGUCAAAGCGCUGCUGCAGAUCACUGAGGUGGUGGAAGCCAAUUACCCUGAGACACUGGGCCGCCUUCUCAUCCUGCAGGCGCCCAGGGUGUUUCCUGUGCUCUGGAUGCUGGUUAGUCCAUUCAUUGAUGACAACACCAGAAGGAAAUUCCUCCUUUAUACAGGAAAUGACUACCAGGGUCCUGGAGGCCUGCUGGAUUACACUGACAAAAAGAUUAUUCCAGAUUUCCUGAGUGGGGAGUGCAUGUGUGAAGUGCCAGAGGGUGAAUUCGUCCUCAGAUUUCUGUACUGCACUGCAGAGGAGCUCGAGGAUGAAGACCACAAGCUCUGGACUGAGAGCAUUUACCAGUCUGUAAGCAUCUUCAAAGGAGGCCCCCAAGAGAUUUUCAUUCGGAUUGUGGACGCCUCUUCAGUCAUCAUUUGGGAUUUUGAUGUGUGCAAAGGGACAAGAGGUCACCACAGCCAUCCCAAAAGGACUCCCUGGGGGCCCACAGCAUCACCUCUCCAGGUGGGAUCAAUGUGCAGCUCAUAGACAAAGUCUGGCAGCUGGGCUGCUAUUACAGCAUGAUGAUUGCCUCUGAUCUGCAAAGAAGGAGAAAGCGCGCAGGGCUUCCCCAGUGACCAGGUGGCCGGGCUUCUACAGCCUGUAGUGAAAUGCCACAGCAUGCCCACAUGCGCUGCCAGCAGCCUGCCCCGGGUGGACAACGUGCUCGCAUCCCUGCAGGCCUCUUUGCACAAAUGUAAAGUGAUGUACUACACGAGGUGAUCGGCCCCGAGGAUUUCAGAGGUUCCAUGACAAGCCUGGAGUCCAGCCACAGUGGCUUCUCACAGGUGAGUGCCACCACCACCUCCUCCAGCCAGUCCCACUCCAGCUCCAUGAUCUCCAGGUAGUGCCAACGCUGUCUGUGCCUAGUGUGCAGAGGGGAUGGCCACCCCUCUUCGGACAGCCAGCUGCACCCAUCUGCCCAGCGGUGACACUGUACAGACUCCUCUCACCUCUAGAUAGCAAAUAGCUCUCCAGAUGGUAAACAUAGUCGUUUGAUCCCAAAACUAUCUUGGCAGGUAGUUUUAACUCUGAUCCUAACUUAACUCAAUAGCCAUAGAUUUUGGAUAAGUUGUGCACAAAAACCUGAUUUUUAUAUCUAUUAACCUUGUUAAACUCUUUUAUUGUUAAAAUUUAUCUGUAGAUUGUUUUGGAUGUGACACAUACAUAUUUUUUUUUUUUUUUGAGACAAAAUUCUGCUCUUGUUGCCUAGGCUGGGGUGCAGUGGCACGAUAUCAGCUCACUGCAACCUCUGCCUUCAGGGUUCAAGCAAUUCUUGUGUGCCACUUGGGAAAGAAUACACCAACACAUUUGCAUUUUUUUUUUUUUUCUUCUUUAAAGGAGAUGACAAAUACCCAGUUUACCAGCUUUACUUUUUGGAACCUAAGCUUAACAUUACAUAUUUAAAUAAUUGUCAAAAAGUUGCUAAGUUGCCAGCAUUCAUGCACAACUAGAAAACACCCUUAAUUUAUAUUAAACCAGAAACCUAUUACCAUUAAUGCAUUAAUAUCUUUCACUACUAAGUACUGAAAAACAUUGAAAUUGUUUCUGUAGAAGAUCCGUCCUGGCAAUGUUAACUUCACAGUAGGCCGACACUAUGUGGCUUACAUUUCAGACACAAUGGAAAAGCAGAUCCAUGCCAGUAUUAGUGGACUUUUAUCUAGGUGCCACUUCAGUGCCAGUUUCUGAUAUACCUUUUUAAGAUCCUUGGAUGAGGCAUGCCUCUGCUCACCUAGAACUUCAUAGUAAUCUACCGUGUUUUAAGAGAUUGUUGGAGGUUCAAGGACAGAGGUGGCCGGUGGCAGGACACAGGGGAGGUGGGGUGGUGGCCCGAAUCUCCUCAUGGCUCCAGCACUACUGUGCUGGUGGUGGCAGUUCCUCACGCUUUCCUUUCUCUCUGAUUUCAAUUUUUAAAAAUUUAUUGAGCUGGGCAUGGUGGCUUAUGCCUGUAAUCCCAGCACUU